rnacentral:rRNA from 1 species
UACGUAGGGGGCUAGCGUUGUCCGGAUUUAUUGGGCGUAAAGAGCGUGUAGGCGGCCGAGUAAGUCCGGUGUGAAAACUCGAGGCUUAACCUCGAGAUGUCAUCGGAAACCAUCUGGCUAGAGUCCGGAAGAGGAGAGUGGAAUUCCUGGUGUAGCGGUGAAAUGCGCAGAUAUCAGGAAGAACACCAAUGGCGAAAGCAGCUCUCUGGGACGGUACUGACGCUGAGACGCGAAAGCGUGGGGAGCGAACAGG